rnacentral:lncRNA from 1 species
GGACGUCGACGAUGGCUAACUUCAUAAUGGAGUGAAGGCAGGAGCUAGGGAAAAUGAAGAAGGAAGAAGAAGAGUAAACAGACUAGGGCAAAUAGAGAAGAAAGAAGAGGAGUAAAGAGUGAAAAAUAAAAAAUAAAAAUAGUAUACCUACUUGAAAUUAGAAAAAUGAGAAAAAAUAAAAACGAGAAAAAAAUUGAAAGGACGGGGUGGGUUGGAUUUGGGAGAAAGAGCGAUGAAUGGAAAAAAAAUUAGAAUCACGAGAAACUUGGGUCUCCUUUUAGAAAGAUUUAAUUCUAAAUUAAUUAAAGGUGUUAUGUAGAAAAUGGCAAAUUUAUUAACACAUGGACCCUAAUAAUUGCUUUUCUUUAUAUUUGAAUGAAAAUCAAAACCAACAACUAACCCUGCAAUUUCUCACUGUACAAUGCGUGAAGUGAUUUUAAUUUUACAGCUGUAUAUUUAGUCUAACCAACAAACAAGUAAAUAAAUAACUAAAUAAAUAAAAAUAAAACCAAAAAGAAAAAAGAAAAAAAUGAGUUGUAUCCUUCAUUGAAAACUCAACCGUUGCUAGCAUUUCAUUACUCACGAGCAUUCUAAAACAUCCAUUUCCUAGGCCUUCACUUUCAUUUUCCAUAUCCCAAUUUAUUUCUUUUCUCCUCCUCCCUUCUUAAAUAUUUUUUAUUUUCUCAAAUGUUUUUGGCUUUUCAUUUUCUGAAACAGGUAAACCAUCGUAAGUUUUUUUUUUCUUUUUCUUUUUUAAGUUUCUGAAAUAGGAGAUGAUGAAAAGGAAGGAAAGAGUUUGGGAAGAAAUAGUGAAGGAGAACCAGUUGCAGAAGAUGAGUUUGCAAAUAAGAUAAAGGCUUACAAGAUUGUACCUUGUUCUCAUUCAAUCUCUUGUUUCCAAUUGUGUCCUUGGUUUUUCAAAUAAGAUGGAAUUUCUGUUGUUGUACUUCUAAAAUAAGCACAUAGGAUAAGCUAUUAAUUGGCAUGGAACCGUAAGAUGGUAGAAACAAUUGCUUACCUUCAAAGAGAAGCUUCUGUUGUAUUUGUGGAAAUGUUGGGUGGUUUUCUUUUCCUUUUAUUUGUUUAUGAUACAUUGUUUUUUCCCAAAAUUUUGAAAAAGGGUGCCAACCACCUCGGUACCAGCACCAAAUAAAUUAAAAAAUAUUGAAAAUGCGUGUCGGCCACCUGCUACACAGCACCCUAAAAAAAUAUAUUUUAAAAACCCGGUACAAUAUGUAUUGUAAAAAAUACGGGUUAAAAAAAUACACAUGGGUGUUAGCCAUUACAUUGUCGGCACAAAAAAAAUAUUUUUUUAAUCCCAAUUCCAAUCAUCAAGUAAUCAAGGGAAAUUUCUAAUAUGGGUGCCAAUCAUGGGGUUGCAAGUCAUUUUUGUUAAUGUUUUUGAACCUAAGUCAUUCUUGUAAAUAUUUAAUUUUUUUGGGUCAUUUUAGAAAAAUAACCCUUAUUUUAG